UCCUCGUUAGUAUAGUGGACAGUAUCUCUGCUUGUCACGCAGAAGACCGGGGUUCGAAUUCCCCGACGGGGAG